GCUUCGGUUCCUGCCCUGAUAGAGUGUGACCUGGGAACAGAUUCAGCUGGGACCAUGAGGAGCAGCAAAGCCAUCAAUAGAGGUACUUCAGCAGGCGGAAACUCUGAGGCUCCGGUAAGAAAGAAGAAGCCGCUUGCUAAGAAACGAAACUGGCACUGGUACGGGUGGCCAACAAGGGUUAGACUCCAGGCUUCAGAUUCCACGUCAGCUUCAAACAACCCUGUGGCUCCCUCAAGUCGUCCGAA
rnacentral:lncRNA from 1 species